UACGUAGGGUGCGAGCGUUAAUCGGAAUUACUGGGCGUAAAGUGUGCGCAGGCGGCGCUGCAAGUCGAGUGUGAAAUCCCCGAGCUUAACUUGGGAAUUGCGCUCGAAACUACGGCGCUGGAGUAUGGCAGAGGAAGGUGGAAUUCCACGUGUAGCGGUGAAAUGCGUAGAGAUGUGGAGGAACACCGAUGGCGAAGGCAGCCUUCUGGGCCAAUACUGACGCUCAUGCACGAAAGCGUGGGGAGCAAACAGG
rnacentral:rRNA from 1 species